UACAGAGGGUGCGAGCGUUAAUCGGAAUUACUGGGCGUAAAGCGUGCGCAGGCGGUGAUGUAAGACAGAUGUGAAAUCCCCGGGCUCAACCUGGGAACUGCAUUUGUGACUGCAUGGCUAGAGUGCGGCAGAGGGGGAUGGAAUUCCGCGUGUAGCAGUGAAAUGCGUAGAUAUGCGGAGGAACACCGAUGGCGAAGGCAAUCCCCUGGGCCUGCACUGACGCUCAUGCACGAAAGCGUGGGGAGCAAACAGG
rnacentral:rRNA from 1 species